rnacentral:rRNA from 1 species
GAUGAACGCUGGCGGCGUGCCUAAUACAUGCAAGUCGAGCGAACAGACGAGGAGCUUGCUCCUCUGACGUUAGCGGCGGACGGGUGAGUAACACGUGGAUAACCUACCUAUAAGACUGGGAUAACUUCGGGAAACCGGAGCUAAUACCGGAUAAUAUAUUGAACCGCAUGGUUCAAUAGUGAAAGACGGUUUUGCUGUCACUUAUAGAUGGAUCCGCGCCGCAUUAGCUAGUUGGUAAGGUAACGGCUUACCAAGGCAACGAUGCGUAGCCGGCCUGAGAGGGUGAUCGGCCACACUGGAACUGAGACACGGUCCAGACUCCUACGGGAGGCAGCAGUAGGGAAUCUUCCGCAAUGGGCGAAAGCCUGACGGAGCAACGCCGCGUGAGUGAUGAAGGUCUUCGGAUCGUAAAACUCUGUUAUUAGGGAAGAACAAAUGUGUAAGUAACUAUGCACGUCUUGACGGUACCUAAUCAGAAUGCCACGGCUAACUACGUG